UACGUAGGGUGCGAGCGUUGUCCGGAAUUAUUGGGCGUAAAGAGCUCGUAGGCGGCUUGUCGCGUCGGAUGUGAAAGCCCGGGGCUUAACUCCGGGUCUGCAUUCGAUACGGGCAGGCUAGAGUUCGGUAGGGGAGAUCGGAAUUCCUGGUGUAGCGGUGAAAUGCGCAGAUAUCGGGAGGAACACCGGUGGCGAAGGCGGUUCUCUGGGCCUUACCUGACGCUGAGGAGCGAAAGCGUGGGGAGCGAACAGG
rnacentral:rRNA from 1 species